rnacentral:rRNA from 1 species
ACGAGGUGACAGGUGGUGCAUGGUUGUCGUCAGCUCGUGUCGUGAGAUGUUGGGUUAAGUCCCGCAACGAGCGCAACCCUCGACCUUAGUUGCCAGCAUUCAGUUGGGCACUCUAAGUGACUGCCGGCUAAAAGUCGGAGAAGGUGGGGAUGACGUCAAAUCAUCAUGCCCCUUAUGACCUGGGCUACACACGUGCUACAAUGGGCGGUACAAAGGGUCGCGAACCCGCGAGGGGGAGCCAAUCCCAAAAAGCCGCUCUCAGUUCGGAUUGCAGGCUGCAACUCGCCUGCAUGAAGCCGGAAUCGCCUAGUAAUCGCGGAUCAGCAUGCCGCGGUGAAUACGUUCCCGGGCCUU